GGCGAUCAUACCAAAGACUAAUGCACCGGAUCCCAUCGGAACUCGCAGUUAAGCGUGUUUGGGCGAUAGUAGUACUCGGUUGGGUGACCCCCUGGUAAGUCCUCGUGUGGCA